AUGCACUUUAUCCUCGCACAUAGCCCAGUGUUUGGAGGGAAGCUCGGCCCCUUCCACCCACACCCCCCCUCUCGGGCAUCCCCCCCGGGCAUUCUCCUCCCUCCCAUCCCCUCCCUCUCCCAGCAUCAUCCUUUCUCCGGGCACUCUCCUCCCUCCCGCCCCCAAACUCAGCAUCCUCCUCCCCGCGGGCAUCUCCCCCUUUCCCCUCGUCCCGCCCCCUUUCCCGGGCAUCCCCCCCUUGCUCCGCUCGGUGCCCGGGGCUCUCCCGCCGGGAUCAGCCGAGCUCCAGCGCCAAUCCCGGCUGUUCCGCCGCCCUCCCACUCCCGCCCAUUGGCCCGUCCCGAUCUUUCGAAGCGGGACAGCGGGGGGACGGGAGGGUGGCAGCCCCUCGCCGCCUCCUCCUCCCGCUCCGAGCUUCGUGUCCUCGAGAUUUUUUGGCUCCCCCGCCUUUUUUUUUUUUUUUUUUUGGGGGGGGGGGGGGGUUUUUUUUUUUUUUUCCUUUUCCCGCGUUAUUUUUCUUGCCCUUCCCCUUCUUUUCCCCUCUUCCUUUUCCCUGUUUUAUUUCUUCUUUUUUUUUCUUCAUUUCCUUUUCUCCCCUUUCCUCUUUCCUCCCUUUUCUCCCCCUCCCCUUCUCCACCUUUCCCCCUUUCCCCCUUUCCCUCCUUUCCCCUCCUUUUCCUCCCUUUAUCCCCCUUUUCCUCCUUCUCCUCUUUCCCACUUUUCCUUUUUCCCACUUUUCCUCUUCCCCCCUUUCCUUUUUCCCACUUUCCUCUUUACCCUCCUUUCCCCCAUUGCCCCUUCUUCCCUCUUUCCCCCUUUUGUCAUUUCUUUCCCCUUUUCUUCCCCCUUUCCCCUUUUCCCUCCCUUCUCCUCUUCCCCCUUCUCCCCAUCCUCUUUUCCCCUUCCACUCCUUUUCCCUCUUUUUUCCCUUCACCCCUCCUCCUGCUUCCCCUCUUUCCACCCUUUCCUCCUCCCUCCCCUCUCCUUUUACUCUUUUUUACCAUUUCUACUAUUUUAAAAAACUUUUUUACUAUUUUUACUAUUUUUUCUUUUUUUCCCCCCCCCUCUCUUUUUCAUACUUUUUUCUGCUUUUCCCUCCUUUUUCUGCCUUUUUUCCUCCCAGCCUUCUCACCCCACUUGUCACUGCUGAGCUCAGAAAGGAGCUGUAGCUGCUCUGCCCGAAAUCUGCAUUGUUUUGCUCUAUUUUUGCCAGGCUGCUGCUGGUGGCUGCCAGACUUCCCAGCUUUCCUGGGAAGCACAAGCAGAGCUGGUUGA
rnacentral:lncRNA from 1 species